AUUGAACGCUGGCGGCAGGCCUAACACAUGCAAGUCGAGCGAGCGGCGGACGGGUGAGUAAUGUCUGGGAAACUGCCUGAUGGAGGGGGAUAACUACUGGAAACGGUAGCUAAUACCGCAUACCAUCAGAUGUGCCCAGAUGGGAUUAGGUAGUAGGGGGGGUAACGUCUCACCUAGGCGACGAUCCCUAGCUGGUCCGAGCGGAUGACCAGCCACACUGGAACUGAGAACCUGGCCAGACUCCUACGGUGGGCAGCAGUGGGGAAUAUUGCACAAUGGGCGCAAGCCUGAUGCAGCCAUGCCGCGUGUGUGAAGAAGGCCUUCGGGUUGUAAAGCACUUUCAGCGGGGAGGCGUUACCCGCAGAAGAAGCACCGGCUAACUCCGUGCCAGCAGCCGCGGUAAUAC
rnacentral:rRNA from 1 species